UAGCAUAUCAAUAAGCGGAGGAAAAGAAACCAACAGGGAUUGCCUCAGUAACGGCGAGUGAAGCGGCAACAGCUCAAAUUUGAAAUCUGGCCCUAGGCCCGAGUUGUAAUUUGCAGAGGAUGUUUCUGGCGAGGUGCCUUCCGAGUUCCCUGGAACGGGACGCCAUAGAGGGUGAGAGCCCCGUACGGUUGGUCGCUAAGCCUCUGUGAAACUCCUUCGACGAGUCGAGUAGUUUGGGAAUGCUGCUCUAAAUGGGAGGUAUACGUCUUCUAAAGCUAAAUACCGGCCAGAGACCGAUAGCGCACAAGUAGAGUGAUCGAAAGAUGAAAAGCACUUUGAAAAGAGGGUUAAAUAGUACGUGAAAUUGUUGAAAGGGAAGCGCUUAUGACCAGACUUGGACCGGUUGAUCAUCCAUCGUUCUCGGUGGUGCACUCUGCCGGUUCAGGCCAGCAUCAGUUUGUCCCGGGGGAUAAAGGCUUUGGGAAUGUGGCUCUUCGGAGUGUUAUAGCCCAUUGCGUAAUACCCUGGGAUAGACUGAGGUUCGCGCUCCGCAAGGAUGCUGGCGUAAUGGUCAUCAGUGACCCGUCUUGAAACACGGACCAAGGAGUCGUCUUCGUAUGCGAGUGUUCGGGUGUCAAACCCCUACGCGUAAUGAAAGUGAACGUAGGAGAGAGCUUCGGCGCAUCUCCGACCGAUCCUGAUGUUCUCGGAUGGAUUUGAGUAAGAGCAUACGGGGCCGGACCCGAAAGAAGGUGAACUAUGCUUGUAUAGGGUGAAGCCAGAGGAAACUCUGGUGGAGGCUCGCAGCGGUUCUGACGUGCAAAUCGAUCGUCAAAUAUGAGCAUGGGGGCGAAAGACUAAUCGAACCUUCUAGUAGCUGGUUUCCGCCGAAGU
rnacentral:rRNA from 1 species